ACUUAUCAAAGGACCCACCAAAAGACAGGAGGCUGGGCCUGGAAUCCCAGUCUCCUGUCUUUUGGUGGGUCCUUUGAUAAGU
rnacentral:pre_miRNA from 1 species